rnacentral:rRNA from 1 species
UUCCCCCCGCCCCCCUAAUUCCAGCUCCAAUAGCGUAUAUUAAAGUUGUUGUGGUUAAAAAGCUCGUAGUUGAACCUUGGGCCUGGCCGUCCGGUCCGCCUCACCGCGUGCACUGGCACGGCCGGGCCUUCCCACCGCGGAAUCGCAUGCCCUUUACUGGGCGUGUCGGGGAAGCGGUACUUUUACUGUGAAAAAAUUAGAGUGCUCUAAGCAGGCCUAUGCUCGAAUACAUUAGCAUGGAAUAAUAGAAUAGGACAGGCGUUCUAUUUUGUUGGUUUCUAGGACGUCUGUAAUGAUUAACAGAAACAAUCGGGGGCGUCAGUAUUGCAUCGUCAGAGGUGAAAUUCUUAGAUCGACGCAAGACUAACUACUGCGAAAGCAUUCGCCAAGGGUGUUUUCAUUAAUCAGGAACGAAAGUUAGGGGAUCGAAGACGAUCAGAUACCGUCGUAGUCUUAACCAUAAACUAUGCCGACUAGGGAUCGGGCGGUGUUAAUUUUUGACCCGCUCGGCACCUUACGAGAAAUCUUAAGUGCUUGGGCUCCAGGGGGAGUAUGGUCGCAAGGCUGAAACUUAAAGAAAUUGACGGAAGGGCACCACCAGGGGUGGAACCUGCGGCUUAAUUUGCCCCCCCCCCCGGGGAAA